rnacentral:lncRNA from 1 species
CAAGCGGAUGUACGCUGACUUUAGUUGUUUAUGUCGCAGCCACAGCGUGAACCCACAAACAAGAAGUGCCACCCAACAGCAUUCAGCUAUUCGCCCGCGUGCGAAUUGAUGGUGCGACGUGCACCAGCAGCUUCUGCAACUCGUUGCCCUUUUGAUUUAUCAAAGCUAAACUAAAAAAAAAACAACAACUGCUGUUUUACCCAUGUUUUGUUGUCUGUGCCAUAAACUUUGUGCUGGCUCAUCGUUGCAACAUUUAUCUAUUUGUUGUUUCUCUUCUCCUUGACUCCCGAGGAGAAAAAAAUUCAUCGACAAGUACCGAUCACCGUUUAAAUGCUUUCCUCCACCAUCUGUAAAAGAAACUGGAUCACACAGGGGAAUCGACAGCAGCGGGAAAACAACAGCCUCGUGAUCUUUCGCUGACCUGUCAAAUAGAAAUCGCGUCGUUCACGGUCGCGCGGCUGAAAUCAGCUAUUACGGCUGUAUACAACAAACACCCCCCCCACCCCCAUCAUGAGAAGAAAAACCAAAAGCAACAAGAAUAGAGCCGUGAGGAAAGAGAAAGAAGAUAUGAAGGAAGAAGAGACGAAAGAGACUCUUUCUUUCCGAUGAGAAGGGUAUCGCUAAUGGAGAGGAAUGCUGCCGACCUCGACGACCCGCCACUGACGACCUCUCUCUCUCUCUCGGCUUCAACUCGGGGUUCUUAUCUUUUCUAUUCCCCUCCAAUAAGUCUUACCCGCGUUCGCAUCGGUUUCCUACAUGUUGGAGAAAGUUUCCUUCUUUUUUUUUCCGGUUAGGUUCCCUGCUGUACUGCGUUCGCCUGCAGCGCCACCUCCACCUCUUGUCAUGUCUGCAGCAGCCUUUCCUUUUAUUCAUCAUUUUGAUGUAUUCCCGCGCCCUGCGAGAAUUCCAUCCUCACAGCCAUUUCAAGUUUCCUCGGCUUCUGUCGUCCUGCCAAACAGAAACAAAACUGGUGGUGUGUGGACUGUCGUGUCGGGUCCGCCGCUUUUCAUUUCUGCAGCAAGAAACAAAACAACCAAAUUUCAUGGAUAUCUUCGUUGAUAAAUGGCGAAAUCGAGAAGACAGUUCACGAAUCACCUGGGCUCACGUCGGUAGCUGCAUACCCUGCAUCUCAUUAUAUUCACCUGUUGCAUAUACGAUCUGAUUCGCCGUUAAAUUACCAUAUUUUGUAAGCACCGAUUUCAUCUUGCCCCCUUAAUCUUGGGUCAGUUUCUGCUUUGCUGGAUCGAUUCUGAGUUGGCUGGAUUCGUCCCGCUGGUGCGCGCACACGCAAAUAUGUGAUUAUUAGCUUUGAUUAGGAGUUACAACGGGAUCAUCAAUAGUGAAACUUCAUCGUCCAAGUAUGGCUGACGAUGCAGUUGAUAAACCCUGUGCGUCUACUACCACCCCCCAAAAUAAAAUUCAAACCAGAAAUUUUUACCGCCUUUUCUUUUUUGUUAUUUAAUUUCAAUCUUCUUUUUAUUUUGUUCGGAGGGAUGUUUGUGUUGUCCACUUUGUACCCCCCCCAAACCAUCGGCUAUCGAUUCGCAAUAGACGCGCGUGUACAAUGUAUAGAGAAACUACGCAUUGAUACGUGGUGUAUAAACGUAUACCAAGCAGCACGCAUUUGAAUACGAUUGCGGAUGUGCUUUGAAAAGGAGGGGGACCCCUCCUAUAUAUAUAUACGUAUCCCGCUGCCGUCCGAUAAAUAUCAGAUUAUUCAAAUGAAGAAGUGGGAAGCGCGCUCCGUGCAGAGCGAGCAGGAGAAAGCCUCGUCAUCGUACAACAGCGACGACCAGCAGCAGCAGCAUCAUCAUCAGCAGCUGAAUGUGAAGCCCAAUGUUGAAGUCAAAGAGAGGAAAACAAAACUUUUUUUUUUCUUCUUCUUCUUCUUCUCUCCCACACCCACAAUACCCCGUUCGAGACGCAGGUAUACGAUUGUGUAAUCAUUUGAAUUUGGGUCCGAUGGAGACCGUUUUUUUUUUUUUUCGAUUCCGGUGCCAACAAACAAACAUUCCAGCCCACCAUUCCGGCAAGGUGUUUUUUUUUCUUCUUCUGGUUGGAAAUGUUUCUUUCUUCUCAUCAGGAAAAAGGGACUUUUGCCUCUCGUCGUACACAUAAAAAAAACGUCCAGCAUCACAUGAGCGUAGAUACAAAAAAAAAAAAAAUCUAAAGAACUCCGGCUGUCUUUCGGAGCUAAAUGGUGCCAUAUCCUGGUGUACAAGUCAGUCAUUCGAGUGUGGACAAAAUGGUAGAUAUGCUCUUUUAGAUUACCAGGGCAUCAUGACUAAUAAAUGUUACAAGAACAAAUAUUAAAAAAAAAAAAAACACAGGAAAAUUGGCCGUUCGUCUUACGCUAAUUCUUCUGCGAGUUUCUUAUGAUUGGCUUCAAUUGGCACGCUAGAGAGAAAAAGACGCGCGUGCGUAGUACCUACAAAGACACGCACGCAAUGUACACCCCUGUCCUGACACACUGACUGCUGUAAGCGGCGGGCAGGGCCGGGAACCCAGGAGAAAGCUGCAUCAUACCAGAACCUGCUGGUGUAUUAUAUACUUCUCUCCCCGUCUUAUUUUUUUCUAUCUCUCUUUCUCGUUUUUUUUUUUUGCGCAGCUAUUCCUUUCUGUGAGCAACUUCAUUUUCGAAAGGUUUUGACCCCUCCCUGACUUUUUUAUUUUAUUUUACGUCUCUCCUCCUCUCUUCGAUAUACGAGUCUGUCGUUCCUUAUACGUGUGUCUCUCUAUAACAUCCACCAUUUCCUGCCCAAUCAAAAAAAAAAAAAAAAAUCUCUUCUUUUAAUUCCUCGAGGGCCUUGAUGUCUGGUCGUCAGGAGCCCCUUCGCUCUGCUGGGUUCUUCUGUUCUGAUGAUUAUUUACAUUUAUGAUUUCUUUACGACCAGGUGAAAUCAACAACAUUUUCCCUUUUACUUUCAUUCAUCUGGUUCUACAGGUACUGAGUGCCCACUCCUCUAGCAACUAGAGAACUUGGUCAUGGUCCUUCCUCCUAUCUCUCCCCCCUUCCCUUUUCAACCCUUUCGGGUGAAAUUUUUUUUUUUUCCAUUUGAUUUCCACCUUUUCACGAUAAAAUCCCGAAGGCAAGGUUGUAAUUUUAUUGUGUACCAUUCUGUUGUUUGUUCUUCGUUUUCCCUUCUCUUGUCGUCCCGCUCUGCGAGCAAAGGCAGCAAAGAAAAAUAUACCUAAACAACAUGUG